AGCCCUUGUAAACCUCUGAGCCA
rnacentral:siRNA from 1 species